CAUUUUGCCUCUGCUUUUAAGUUCUCUAGGAAUUUUUUUUCUUUUUUUUUUUUUUUUUUUUUUGUCCAGAUCAAGCUUAUUAAUUCAACCUUUAAGCCUUUGUGGAAACAAUAUCAGGCUGCUUUUGUCUUUCAUUUACCAGAAUGCCAUUACAAUUUCAGCCGUUGGUAGGUGUAUAUCAGCUCUGAGAUCAUAGGUCAUUCUAGUUUGAAGGGAACCUCAAAAGGUCAUCUAGUCCACUGUCCUGUUCAAGAGUUAAUGUCUAAUGGAAGUGAUUGUUGACCACAGAGAGUAAUGAACUUUGCUAAGCUGCAUUAUUUAAAUACCAACAAUAACAACAAAAAAUCUUCUAAAAGUGUUUUUAAAAGCCUUUUAAGGUUUACAUUUGUGGACAUGGUGAGAUCUAGAACCUAAAGUUUCCACUUGCAGAGUAAAAAUAUGUAGUUAUUAGUACAUAUCUAAAGAAAAAAGGAGUUCAAGAAAGUUGAUGGUUCCUUAAAGGAACUGUGUUCUCUUUUCCCUUAGGAAGAAUAAUAAGAGAUCAACUGAGGUAAAUCAUAGGCUCUUUGAUCUUUGAAGUUAGACAGAAACAUACUAAAACUAGAAAGAGCAGAAAAUGAGUAGACACAGUAUAUAUAUUAAAAAAAGAGGGUAAGAUGGGAGGACCUAAGCAAUUAUAGGCCAGUUAGCUUCAUUUAUUGGUUUCAAUAUUUUUCUGGAAAUGUGAGCAAUUUUAAGUGAACAAGAACCAACAUCUAGAUCUGUAAAAGAGCAAAUCAUGUCCAGCCAAUCUAGUAUGUGUUUUAACAGAAUAAUAGACUUUAGAGAUAAGUAAGGAACAAUAGAUGUCAUGUAUCUCUGGCAACACAUUUGACUCUGCCUUGAAUAACAUUGUGAUAAUCGAGCUAGAGAAACAGGGCCUAAAUGAAACUACUAAUAGGUGAAUAUGUAACUGGUCUGAAAAUUGUAGGGCGCAGGUCUUUGAAUAUCUUUUCAAGCUCUCUUCUAGACCUGUGUUCUCUGAUUUCUGUGGAGGCACUGCCAAACGCAAAUCAAACUAUGCUGGUAAAAUCAAUACUUAAAACUUCCCCACACUGAAAACUGCUGUUGUGGUCGUUCAUUUAAAAGGUGCAAAUCUAGUUCUAGGGAAGGUAGUGAAGCAAUAUACAAUGUCCUGUUCCGUUUUACACAAAAUCACGAUUUUGGAAAUACAUGAGCUGUUUCCCAUUUGAUUAUUUUAAAGAAUGCAAAAUUCACUUUUACAGAAGCUUAAAUGGAGCUGCUUAAGACCAACAUAGCUGAGGAAAAAAAGUGACUUACACGCUUUUGUUUGUGGUUUAUAAAUUGUGAGUUGCUGUGUCCGUAUCGGAUCUGUUAGUUCGUUUAGGUUUCAAGGUGGGUAUGUACUGAUAUUUCAUCUUUCUGUAUUCUCCUGACUGAUGAUGAUUCAGAAGUGAUCGGCUUUGGUAACCUGUCGUACAUUUGCAAAUAUGAAGACAUAGGUGUGCAGUGUUAUUCUAGAAUGCCAAGUGUGAAUGCUACUGCAUUGCUCUGAAAGAAGAAAUCUCAAAAAUGCUGAAGGCUUGUAUGAAAUAAAGAUCCUCAGGGGACUUUCCCGUUUGUAGAUGAGGAGCUCGACAGAUCACUUUGUACUGUAACCUGGGUUGCUGCUUCAAAAAAACUGAUGGAGAUUUAGUACCUGCAUUUCUUCCCUUUGGGAGUUGAGUGUAUUUCUUUUGGAAAACUGGAUAACAGAAGGAUAAAGAUUUUAAAAUAGACCCUGCGGACAUUUCUUCCUAGAACUUUAAAUGCUCCUAAAGUUAACCAGAGAGGGUUUUCUUCUUCAGAGUGCCUACAAGAAAGCAGAGCAGAGCCUCUGUGUCAUCCUGCUCUUAGGAAACAGUUCUUAACAGCUGAACAUCUUCUCCCAAAUACAUCUACACAGGCCAUAUGGACACACUCUUGAGAGCAAUGGUUUUUACACUUCUUUAUAGAUUUUUAGACUUUAAACUCACAUUUUUAACAAAGUAAUUACUGUUUUGCUGAAUAUAUAGAUCAGCUAGGUGUUUUCUGGUUAGCAGCUAGGUGUGUGGGGGUUUGGGUUUUUUUUGUUUGUUUGUUUUCCUCUGGGCAUGUGGAAGUGUUUUUCCCUAGUGAAGUGUCAUUUCUGGUUAUUCAAUUUCCUGCUUUGUUUUUCUAAAGGCCUUCUUUUGAUUUAAAACUAUGCAGUCAGGCUAAAGACAUCCCUAUGGUGAUUAAUUAUAUACUUGUACAGUAUAGAUAAUACUCAUUGGUCAAUACAGAGUGUCUCCAUGCCCCUCUCAACGCUGAGCUAAGUUUUCCAUGUGCAAAAGCUAAAGGAACAUUGAUCCACUACCACUUGGCUCAGUUUCUAUAAAGGUAAAGAAAAGUUGCAUUUUUGAAAUCCUGUGAACAUACAACUCUGCAAAGCUUUAUAAAAAUAUACCUGUUGUGAAGCGUUAUGCCUAUUCCUUCAGUUACUUUUGUCCCUGGUCCAAUGUUGAUUUAUCCCAGCGUGUGCAAAUAUCUCAACAAGGAACUUCAAACUAUUUUUGGAAGUAUGGAGUGCUGAAUACUCAAAUGAUCACAUAAUUAGUCAUCUUAUUCUUGCUUGGAAUUUGGU